rnacentral:rRNA from 1 species
GGCCGCCCCCGCCCCCGCCGCCGGGAGCAACCUCCACAGCAAGACCCUCCUCAAGAGCGAGCAGCUCUACCAGUACAUACUGGAGUCCACGGUGUUCCCGCGCGAGCCCGACUGCCUCCGGGAGCUGCGCGUCGCCACCGCGGCCCACCCCAUGUACGGGUCCGGUCCGAUUCCUGGGAUUCCGGCGGUGCGUUUUUUGUGCCGCCCUUGCUCGAAUGGUGUUUGACUUUUUGCCCGUACGGGCGUGGGACCCGCUACGUGCAGGGCUCGCAUGGCGGCGUCGCCGGACCAGGUGCAGCUGUUCGGCCUGCUGAUCGAGAUGCUCGGCGCCAGGAACGCCGUCGAGGUCGGCGUGUUCACCGGGUACUCGCUGCUGGCCACCGCCCUCGCCCUCCCCGACGACGGCAAGGUCGUGGCCAUCGACGUUACGCGCGAGAGCUACGACGAGAUAGGGGCGCCGGUGGUGGAGAAGGCCGGGAUGGCGCACAAGAUCGACUUCCGCGUCGGGCUCGCGCUGCCGGUGCUGGAUCAGCUCGUCGCCGAGGAUGGCAACCUGGGCAAGUUCGACUUCGCCUUCGUGGACGCGGACAAGGCCAACUUCCACCACUACCACGAGCGGCUGCUGCGGCUGGUCAGGGUCGGGGGGCUCAUCGCCUACGACAACACGCUAUGGGGCGGCUCCGUGGCCGCGCCGGACGACGAGGCGCUGUCGGAGCGCGACCGGGAGCUCGCGGGGAUCGCCAGGGGGUUCAACGCGGCGCUCACCGCCGACCGCCGUGUCCAGGUGUGCCAGCUCGCCAUCUCCGACGGGAUCAUGCUGUGCCGCCGCGUCGCGUGA